UAAAAACACUUACAGCCUGUUCCACGAUGUCGAAAGAACACGUUCGCACAACUUUUACACGACAAACAGCUGAUUUCCGUUCCACUAAAAUCCAUCAGAACGAAAAUUUGCACGAAAAUCAAAGCGAACGAAAACGUAAGCGUUUCAGUGUAAUUUUGCGUUCCACUAUCUUUUUUCUUUCGUACGCAUGCGAACACAAAUGUCAAAAUCAGUCACUUGUGUGUUUGCUGUCGAAUGAUAAAAAUUAAGGAAAAUUGUUUUAACAUAAACAUUUCUUGAUUGAAAAUGGAAAGAAAAAUCACGAAAAAACUACACAGCUGCGGGCAAUAGUUGAGUAUAUGGGGGAGAAUCCUAAGUUCGCCAGAGGAGUGCCAAUUUUUGGAAGCAGCAGGCAAUCCCAUGAAGACCACUGGAAGACACAAACCUAGAAAAAAUCAUUUUUUUAUUAUUUUAAAAAUGUAAAAAUACAAUCAUACUUACUGGUUGUUAGGUACUUCAAAUAAAUUCGAAGCAUCUCUUAAAUGCCUCCGUGGCACAAUUUGAA